ensembl:lncRNA
UCUUGCUGGAGAUCCUUGUGCGUGUGAGGCCUUUUGAAGGAGGCAUCGCAUGCUAUAAAUACUACACAUGCUAGCACAAUUGCCAGAGAAGUGAGGAAAGAAAAUUUCUUGAUCUGGUUGUUUACCCAGUGCCCCCUGAAGGCUAUGUGAUAGAUAUCGUAAGACACAGAAGACAGAUGAUGAGAAUCGCUCAGACCUCUGAAAUAGACUGAGGGUGCAACAUUAAAUGCAAAGGAAAGCAUCUUUGGCUGUUUACAUGGAUAUUAGACUGGCUCUUACAGAACUUACAGGAUGCUUUAAACUGGCACAUUGUUAUAGAGUAUUCUGCAUGUAGUAAAAUUGAAAUAAAGUGUAGCUGAAAAAAAAAGAUAUGCUCUUCAUAGUGAAGUGCUCCUAACACUUUUCAUAAUGGAUAUGUCAUGAAUUUAAAUAUUUAUGGUAUGUUGCAAAAAAUAUGUUUGCUAAACCAGCAGCAAAGUGAAACCUAAAUAAAUUUCCACUCACGAUGCAGGAUAAAGCAACAAUAAUGUGUGUUGCAGAAAAGUAAGAAAUCAAGACAGGGCAGCUUGAUUUAUGAUGUAAAUAAAUGUUAAGGAUAUUAGUAAGAUUAGUGUAUAGGAGUGUUACCACGAGUGAAUGAUAUGCAGUAGCAAAUUGGAUUGCUUGCUGCACAACAGAACACCAAUCUAAUAGAAAAAAUACAGCGUAUCAUAAAAAGCAGAAUAGUCUCAAAGUAUUAAAUAAACAUAGUGUGUUAUUAAUAAUGAGGUAGUGCAGGAUCUGUCUGUUCUUAUUAAAUAUCCUCAUUAAUAACUUGAACCAAAGGGGUAAGAUAGUUAAUAAAGUUUGCUGCUUCUCAUGACUUUGUAAACAUGUGAGUAUUCUCCAAGAAUAUUAGGACAUCUGAAAGGACAAGAAUUAGGAAUAGACAUUUAGAGUUAAACUGUGAAAAUGUAUGUGCAACAUUUUUGCUAUCUGGACUGCACUCUUAAGUAAAAAAUUCUUGGGCAGGUACAUGAAGGGCAUCCAAAAAUGCAGCUGCAGUCAAAUGCCUAAGAAGCAGGAAUCUUAAACUGCAGUUUGUGAUGGAGUAGCCUGUUGAAAAUGAUUUUAGAAUACAGUGUGGAUAGAUGUGGCAUAUUUGGGGCUCCACAAAUGUAGGUAAGCAUGGCAAGAAUGUAUCUAUCCCCAAGUGUACCAUGCCAUCACAGCCCUAUCUUCUAUAUGUAUAUGACUCUUCUUCUAGUAAAUGACUCAGAAAAAAAGGUUAUGAUUCUUGAAUACGAAGUUGAUAAGAAUACAGAGUUCUAAGUUAAGUAGAAGCACAGAAACAAGCAAGAAAGGAAAAACUUUACAGAGCCCGGAAAGCCUUAUAUAUGAUAAAAGACUAAAAUUACAGGAUGAAUUUCUAUGAUGCUCCUUAAGGACAUAGGACAAGUCUCUGUUCCAUUCAUAGGUGUGCUAAAAACGGUAGCUAGCUUGGGUGUUCUGUGUGCGUGCAUUGUCUGAGCCCUUAACAACAGAGACUUCUUUACAGUUUCUCAUUAUAAAAAGAGUUCUAUCACCUAAUAUUGUAUUUAAAAAAAAAAAUGGAAAAAUGAGUUUGCAGUCAACAAUUGUUCAAUGGUAAGGACAGCUCAGUAACUUAAGAUGGACUUACAUAACUUCCCCAACUUCUGUAAAUAUUAUCAGUAUUUGUAUUUAUCAAUUCCAAUUAUCUAUUAAUAUGUUAAACAUUUGAUGAUUGCUUAUUUUU